GGGGAUAAUUGAGUUGUCACCAGCAAGAGCACAUAUCGACCUGGUGGCUUGCUACUUCGAUGUCGUCUCUUCCCAACCUCCCGGUGCAGCAGCUGGGAAGGGUGGGGUUGUUCGCCCAUUAAAGGGGAUCGUGAGAUGGGUUUAGACCGUCGUGAGACAGGUUUGUUGCUUUGUGGUUGAGGCGUAUCAGGUGCCUGAUCGGAAGGGCCCUUUAGUACGAGAGGAACGAGGGCUCGGAGCCACUAGUUUACCAGUUGUCUGACAAGGCAAUGCUGGGUAGCCACGCUCCAUGCGGAUAAGAGCUGAAAGCAUCUAAGCUCGAAGUCGCCCGAAAGACGAGGCACCUCAGGGGACUCGUAAAAGACGAGAUUGAUAGACAGCGGGUGUAAGCACCGAGGUUUCGACCGAGGUGUUCAGCCCAGCUGCACUAAUCCCCCGAG
rnacentral:rRNA from 1 species